CAGGAAACCAACACAAACAAGCUAAAGCAAAAAAAAAAAAAAAAAAAAAAAGACUCUCAGUGGACACUGACAUGAAUAAGUAAGAAAUUAGAUGCCAUUAUAAUUCACUGAGAUUCGAAGAUUUGUUGCUGGAGCAUAGUCCAACCUGACUGAUACUGAGAGUGAACUUAGUUUCUAGCUUUAUAGUUCCAUUCUCCUUGUGAGUUGAUUUUAUUUCACUUCCCAUGAAAUCCUCUGAGAUCACCUAAGUGGGUUUCUGAUCCUUUCAAUGAAUAAUCCCUGAUAAAACUGAUAAACAAAUGAUAUUUAUUUAUAACUAUUUGAUUCUUAAACAUUUAUCUUGUAAUAGGUUCUUCUACCCUUCUGUAUGCCAAAGUUAAGUUGUAUGUGUAUAUACACUUCGAAAAGUCCACCCUCUUGUUUAGGUGGGAAGUACAGACAGGUGAUGAUACUUGCAAAAAGUUUCCUGCAAUCUUGCAUCGUCACCCAGGCUACAGUGCAGUGGUGAGAUCUUGGCUCACUGCAACCUCUGCCUCCCAGGUUCAAGCAAUUCUCCUGCCUCAGCCACCCAAGUAGCUGGAACUACAGGCAUGCACCACCAUGCCCAGCUAAUUUUUGAUUUUUCAGUAGAAAUGGAGUCUCAACAUGCUGGUCAGGCUGGUCUUAAACUCCUGGCCUCAAGAGAUCUGACCGCCUCGGCCUCCCGAAGUGCUGGGAUUACAGGCAUAAUCCACUGCACCCAGCCCUGAUUCAGUGACUAUUGAAACCCCAGGAAUUCAAGGAUAAUAUCGGGAUUUAGGAAUGUGAACUGCUUAAAAUCACAAAGUAAUAGCAGUGGUUUCUAUUGCCCAUUUUAAAGUAUCUACAAAAUCACUUUUUUGGUGUUAUAAUUCUUUUAACAAGUAAGUUGAAUAAAGGAAUAUAGUUAAGUACUGGCACUAAAUAAAAACUGCUGCCAAAUAUUUGACUUAUAAGACCAUUAUUAUUAUUAUUAUUAUUAUUCAUGUGUUAUUAUUUUUCAUGGAGUUUUGAAGACCAAAAAUAUCUGAAAAACAUUUUAAUCUGGCCAGUUGAAAACUAGUGAAUUUCAACCAGAUGUUUUUAAUACCACUUUAAAAAUAAACUUCAGCCAUUUUAUUA
rnacentral:antisense_RNA from 1 species